UGAAUACGAGACGCUAAGGCGUCGAAGUAGUGUAUGUCAUACUUCCAAGAAAAGCUUGCACUGUCAUAGAUAAAAAACGCCUGUACCAUAACCGACACAGGUGGGUAGGUAGAGUAUACUAAGGGGCGCGAGAUAACUCUCUCUAAGGAACUCGGCAAAAUAACUCCGUAACUUCGGGAGAAGGAGUGCCUUAUUCUUAAGGUUGCAAUAACAAGAUCCAAGCAACUGUUUAUCAAAAACACAGGUCUCCGCUAAGUCGUAAGACGAUGUAUGGGGGCUGACGCCUGCCCAGUGCCAGAAGGUUAAAGAAGCUGGUUAGCAUUUGCGAAGCUAGUAACUGAAGCCCUGGUGAACGGCGGCCGUAACAAUAACGGUCCUAAGGUAGCGAAAUUCCUUGUCGGGUAAGUUCCGACCCGCACGAAAGGCGUAAUGAUUUGGAUACUGUCUCGGAGAGGGGCUCGGUGAAAUAGACUUGUCUGUGAAGAUGCGGACUACCUGCACCAGGACAGAAAGACCCUAUGAAGCUUUACUGUAACUUGAAAUUGAAAUUGGACUUUAUUCGCGCAGUAUAGGUGGGAGGCGUUGAUUAUAAUCUUGCGGGAUUAUUGGAGCCAUUAGUGAGAUACCACUCUUGUAAUGUUAGAUUUCUAACUUUGAAUCAUUAUCUGGUCAAAGAACAGUUUCAGGCGGGCAGUUUGACUGGGGCGGUCGCCUCCUAAACGGUAACGGAGGCGUACAAAGGUUUCCUCUGAACGGUUAGAAAUCGUAUCUAGAGUGUAAAGGCAUAAGGAAGCUUGACUGUGAGACCUACAAGUCGAGCAGGGACGAAAGUCGGUCUUAGUGAUCUGACGGUACUGAGUGGAAAGGCCGUCACUCAACGGAUAAAAGUUACUCUAAGGAUAACAGGCUGAUCUCCCCCAAGAGUUCACAUCGACGGGGAGGUUUGGCACCUCGAUGUCGGCUCAUCGCAUCCUGGGGCGGUAGUACGUCCCAAGGGUUGGGCUGUUCGCCCAUGAAAGCGGUACGCGAGCUGGGUUCAGAACGUCGUGAGACAGUUCGGUCCGUAUCCGGUGUAGGCGUUAGAAUAUUGAGAGGAGCCUUCUUUAGUACGAGAGGACCGAGAAGGACAUACCUCUGGUGUACCAGUUAUCGUGCCAACGGUAAACGCUGGGUAGCUAUGUAUGGAGUGGAUAACCGCUGAAAGCAUCUAAGUGGGAAGCCCACCUCAAGAUAAGUAUUCU
rnacentral:rRNA from 1 species